rnacentral:rRNA from 1 species
AAAAACUUCGCAAGAACGGGAAGAAUAAGUAAGAGCUAACAUCUCUUACGAUGACGGUACUGUUUGUAAGCUCCGGCUAACUCCGUGCCAGCAGCCGCGGUAAUACGGGGGGAGCAAGCGUUGUUCGGAUUUACUGGGCGUAAAGGGCGCGUAGGCGGCCACCGCAAGUCAGUUGUGAAAUCUCUGGGCUUAACCCAGAAAGGUCAACUGAUACUGCGGGGCUAGAGUGCAGAAGGGGCAACUGGAAUUCUCGGUGUAGCGGUGAAAUGCGUAGAUAUCGAGAGGAACACCUGCGGCGAAGGCGGGUUGCUGGGCUGACACUGACGCUGAGGCGCGAAAGCUAGGGGGAGCCAACAGGAUUUAGAUACCCUGGGUAGUCCUAGCCCUAACGGGUGCUUUGCUUUGCUUGUAAGUGGAAUCGACCCCACUUGUGGCGGAGCUAACGCGUUAAGCAGCCGCCUGGGGAAGUACGUCGCAAGAUUAAACUCAAAGGAAUUG